AGUGAACGCUGGCGGUAGACCUAACACAUGCAAGUCGAACGGCAGCACAGUAAGAGCUUGCUCUUACGGGUGGCGAGUGGCGGACGGGUGAGGAAUACAUCGGAAUCUACUUUUUCGUGGGGGAUAACGUAGGGAAACUUACGCUAAUACCGCAUACGACCUACGGGUGAAAGCAGGGGAUCUUCGGACCUUGCGCGGUUGAAUGAGCCGAUGUCGGAUUAGCUAGUUGGCGGGGUAAAGGCCCACCAAGGCGACGAUCCGUAGCUGGUCUGAGAGGAUGAUCAGCCACACUGGAACUGAGACACGGUCCAGACUCCUACGGGAGGCAGCAGUGGGGAAUAUUGGACAAUGGGCGCAAGCCUGAUCCAGCCAUACCGCGUGGGUGAAGAAGGCCUUCGGGUUGUAAAGCCCUUUUGUUGGGAAAGAAAAGCAGCAGGUUAAUACCCCGCUGUUCUGACGGUACCCAAAGAAUAAGCACCGGCUAACUUCGUG
rnacentral:rRNA from 1 species